ACCGGGCCGGGAAGGAGUCGGGGUGGAGCGCGCGGGGACCUGGCAGGAGAGGGGUGCAGGUCCGGGAGCGAGGCCGGGGAGGACAGUGGAGGAGUGGGGGGAGCGCGCGGGGGCUGAGGAGGAGAGGGGACGCGGGCCCGGGGAGCGGAGCCGAAGACGGGAGCAAGGGAGGCCGGGGAGGCCGGGGAGGCGCGGGGUCCCGGAGGGGAGCGCUCGGCGGGCCAGGGGAGCGCUCGGCUGGCCAGGGGAACGCGGGUCGCGGGGCCUGGGAGAGAAAACGAGGUCGCGGAGGCGCGGGGAGGAGAGGCGGUGGAACGCGCGGGGACCGGGGAAGAGAGGGGACGCGGACCCGGGGAAGGGAGCGCCGGGCUCAGGGCUGUCCAGGCUCUGCCUGGAUCCCGCCCGCACUACGCGGGCAGCCCAGGCUGCACCCCCUGCCCAACCCCGGACGUGGGGGACCCAGGCAGCUCAUGGGGGUGGGGCUGGGACAGGCGCACGCAGCGCGUGCGGCGGGAGCGAGCGGCUGGAUAGGGCGCUGGGGUCCUCCCGAUCUGGGGGUGACGGCUAGGCGGAGGAGAGCGUGCCGCCAUGUAGCCCGGGUUUGGGGAGAGGGGGUUGCAGGGCUGCUCCGGGCUGCCCCGCAGGGAGGCCGUACUUGUGCGCGACUAGUUUGGAAAGCACGCGUGGAGGGUACGGCGCUGGCGCGAGGGGACAGGAGCGUGGGAUCGGAGCGCAGCGGGUGCAGGCUCCCAGGUGGUGGCUCUGCUCGUGGGUCGGUUGGAAGGGGAGGGAGAGAAGGCGCAGAGAACAAGUCUUGAGGCUUCUCCAAGGUGACGUGUAGAGGGGCUCCUUGCGCUGAUAAACAGGCCUGGGAGGGCAAGGAACCCAAGUGACCCUAGGGAGCGUGACCUGGGGCGCAGGAAGGGAAGCACCGACAGAGAGUGCAGGAGAGUGGGUUCCAGGGUGAGGGGAAGCCAGAGCGCCCAGAGGGCAGCCGGCAGGGGGUCCCCGAAGUUUGUAGUUUGAGAGCAGCAGCCCUUGAGAGGGAGUGGACAUUAAGAGGAAAAGAAGCAGGGCGAAGAGGAGAGUGCGUGGGCAGGAACUUGGGCCAGGAGGUGGGAGGACAACCAGGUGUCCUGCGGUCCCACAGGUCUUUACCCACCACAGGCUGCUUGGAUGGUGCAGAAUGAGUGGCUGUGGAAGGAAACCUUUGAGCUGUCAUCUCAGGGGUGGGAGCCACAUUUCCAACAGACGCUGCUGCUCCUGGGCUUGCAGUCUGGUUCCUGGGGAGCCGAAAAGGGCAGCCCAGGGACUGGAGUCUUAAUGUUCAAGCCAGCCUGGGGGUGCUUCCUGUCCUGAUCAGGCAGGGUAGGAUUGAGAAGACAGUGGGUGGCAAACUGAGUUGGGAAAGGUUCGAGAUGGGGGGCAUGAGCUGAUGGUGAAAACCUGGAUCCAUCCUCACACUGCAGUGCAUAGUAAGAUUCCUCCCCAGUCCUAUGAAAAUGCAGAUUCUGAUUCUAGAACCAUGUCGUCCAAGAUGAUGCCAUUAACCACAUGUGUGGCUUUUUACAUUUAAAGCACGCGUAGUUAAAAUGAAAUACAAUUAAAAGUGUGCAUUAGCCACAUUUUAAGUGCUGGGCAGCCACUUGUGAGACGGCAGAGUUCUGCUGGACAGCGCAGCGCUGGGUUUCAACGGGGUGGGAGGUGGGGGCUGUGUCUGUUUCCUUCACGGCUGUGUCCUCUGGGCCUGGGGCUCAGUGAAUGGAUGGGCCAGAGGUGGAGUAACAAAACAUUCAGCAAAUAAAGCGCUGUGUAUGUUUGGGGGAACAGGCUGUGGAACGUUUUCUGUUCUGUAGUAGGUGAACAGUGCAGGGGCAAAUAGGAGGAAUGUAGACAAAUGUUUAUAAAAGGAGGUCCUUCUGGCUGGUGUGAGCAGAGGCUUGGUGCUUCUGCUUCAUUACUUUCUUUCUAUGUGCUGAACCAAGACUGCUAACAACUAGUUAGCGCUUUCUUCCCAAGGUUUUUCCUUGACACAGAGGGAGGAUUUAGGCUAAAAAGACACUUUCCACGAAAGGUUUUGUUAUCAGCUUGGCUUGAGACACUGCGGAAAAGACCCGGUAUGAUAGAUGUGCCCUAUGUGGGUUUUUGAUUUACGGAAAGAUUCUUCUUGGAUUAAGAAAAGAGAUUAUGAAAAAUUGUAAGAAAUUGGAAUCAUCAUCAUUAUUAUUUUAAAGAUACGUUUCACUUUGAAACAAUGUGCAUGCUUCUGGUGGGAAAGGUGAGGGCAUUUCAGUCUCACGACCCAUCCCCCUCCACCCGCCGCCUGAGUUUUCGGCCUGUGCUGUUAUAUUCACGUUGCCCAGGUUCCUAACACCCAAUUCUGUAUCGUAGCUACAGUGCCCACAGUUGCUCAGUGUUAAUUCAACAUUUCAGAGAACUCUGUGCUCACCGAUAGUCCUUUUAUUUUGCUGUCUAAUUAGCUAAUUUCAUUUUCAAUCAUUUUUCAGGAAGGGCUCGUGAGUAUUACCUGCGCAUUUUCAUGUCUGACAGUGUCUGUCCAUUGACUCUUAUCUUUGAACAAUAUCUUGGUUGGGUGUAAUAUUCUUAGCUUCUGUUUUCUUUCCCUCAACCCUUUGUAAGCAUUGCUCCACAGCCCUCUGCCAUUGGAUGUGGGGAAGCCUGAAGUCAGCUGAUUUUUUUUCCCAUGUAGGUGAUUUGCAUUUUCUUCAUGAAUUUCUGACGGAUUCCUUCUUCUUGCUUCAUUUCAUGAGCUUAACCAGACCAUGUCUCAGAGCUGAAUGCUUCAUUUUGAACUCCUGGUACACUGAGUACUCUUUCAAUUUGCAUAUUUCUUUUUUAAUUUGAGGGAAAUUUAUUUUAUGUCCUUAAAACAUCUUCUGUUACAUUUAUUGGUGUUUCUAUUUCAGGGACACCAGUUAUAUUAGUUUCCUGUGGCUGCUGGACAAAUUGCCACAAACUUAGUGUCUGGAAACAACACAAAUUUAUUCUCUUCCAGUUCUGGGGGUAGGUAGUCAACACAGUCUCAUAGGCUAAAAUCAAGGUCGGCAGGCCUGCGUUCCUUUCUGGACGUGCUAGGGGUGAGUCUGUUUUCCUGCCUUUUCCAGCUUCUGGAAUCCGCCUGUGUCUCUUGGCUUGUGGGUCCUCCCCACCUUCAGAGCCAGCAGAUGUCUCCCAUCUCCUCAUUCUGAUGUAGACUCUCUGCCUCCCACUCCACUUUUAAGAACCCUUGUGAUCACAUUGGGGCCGAUGGGUGAUCCAGGAUAAUCUCUGUAAUUUAAGGUCACCUGACUAGCAAACUUUUUUUUUGAAUUUUAUUUUAUUUAUUUUUUUAUACAGCAGGUUCUUACUACUUAUCUAUUUUAUACGUAUUAGUGUAUAUAUGUCAAUCCCAAUCUCCCAAUUCAUCCCUGACUAGCAAACUUAAUUCCCCUUUUCCAUGUAACCUAACAUAUCCACAAAUUCUGGGGAUUAGGACACAGAUCUCUUUGGGUGGGCCAUUACUCUGCCUACUACACUGAUUAUUCUUACGUUGGGCUGUUUUUAUCUGUCCUCCAUUCAUGUCUUCUAAGUGCCUUGUUCUUUUUGUCUUUCUCUCUGCAUUUCUGUGGUACUCUCAAGUCUUUCCUAUUUAUUGGUAAUUUUUAUUUUAGCAAACUGUUUCUAGCUGUUCUAACUUAUUUGUUAAUUCAGUAUUGAUGUCCUUUUGGUGUCUAAUUUUUCCUUACUUUUACAAUUUUCCUUUUUUUCAAUUUUUAAAGAAUUCUUUAAAAAUUCAUUAGAUUAAAAACUCUCCUUUGGGGCUUCCCUGGUGGCGCAGUGGUUGAGAGUCCGCCUGCCGAUGCAGGGGACACGGGUUCGUGCCCCGGUCUGGGAGGAUCCCACAUGCCACGGAGCAGCUGGGCCCGUGAGCCAUGGCUGCUGAGCCUGCGUGUCCGAAGCCUGUGCUCCUCGCAACGGGAGAGGCCACAAUAGUGAGAGGCCCGCGUACCGCAAAAACAAACAAACAAAAACUCUCCUUUGAACUCUUAUUUUACCAACAGCAUGUUUUUAUUAGGUUGUUCCAUUGCAUGAAGUAACUGGGAUGAAUUUCCUUCUGCUCCUGGGGUCAUAUUUCCUUUUAAGUUAGGUUCUAUCUCUUUUCCCUUCCUUUUUAAACUUUUUAUGGAGGUAUGAUUUACAUAUAGGUAAGUGUACCUAUUAUAAUUGCAUAGCUCAGUGAAUUUUCACAAAGCUAACACGCCCAUGCAACCAGUACCCAGGAAGCACAACACCAACAGGCCCCUGGGCCCCCAGCCCUCCCCCAGCCAUGACACCCUGCAGCGUCACCACUGGCCUGGCUUCUGACAACAUGGGCCACUUUUGUCUCGUCCAUUCUGUGUAAAAGUGAGAGCUGUAAUGUGACUGCUUCUCUUGCUCCUGUUGUGUGAGACUCUCCUGGGUUGUGUAUGGCUGUGGAAGGUUUAUGAUAUCCCUGGUGUGAACGUACUGCGAUCUGUUUAUUUACCCAUCAUGCUGGGGUUGGCAUUUCUGUGGUUUCCAGUUUCCGGCUGUUGUGAUUUGUCCUGCUGUGAACAUUCCCACUGUGCGUCUUUAGAGUAUAAAAGAUGCGUUUCUGUCAGAAUAGACCUAAACCUGGGAUGGCCGAGUAUUAUGGUAUGCAUAUGUUUAACUUAAGAAGAUACUCCAAAAUUGUUUUCAGUUUACGCUCUCACUGCAAAGAUCAGGAGUUCUGUUUGCCCACAUCCACAUCAACGUUUGGUUCUUGCUGUUUUGUAUUCUAGCCGUUCUGGAAAGUAUAGUGUAGUUGAAUUUGCAUUUUUCUGAUGACUAAUGAGAUUGAACACCUUUGUCCAUUUUUCAUAGGUUGAAUUUAUUUUACUGGUCAGUAUUUUACUGGUCUGGAAAGUAUAGUGUAGUUGAAUUUGCAUUUUUCUGAUGACUAAUGAGAUUGAACACCUUUGUCCAUUUUUCAUUAGGUUGAGUUUAUUUUACUGGUCAGUAGGAGUGUUUGAAAAAUGUAUUCUGGCUGUGAAUCCCUUGUCAGAAAUACGUAUUGUGAGUAUCUACGCUUGUCUGUGUUGCCUUUCACCCCAUUAAUAGUAUUUCUAAGAACAGAAGCCCUUCAUUUUAACACAGUCCAAGUAAAUGAUGGGUGUUCAUGGCAGGGACUCUGGGUGUGUUGAACAAGUCUCUGCCUGUCCCAGGGUGGGGCUGUCCCCUGAGGCUCCACCGUCUUACCUCUGAUGUUGGUGGCUGCCAUCCCGCUGGGAUGAGGGAUGGCGGGAGGGGUCAAGACACAUUUUUUGCCAAGUAGAUAUGCAGUGGGAGACCCCCUUUCCCAGCAUUGCUCUGUCACCCUUGUCGCGGCCCAAGGACCACACAGCCUCCCACCUGCAUGCUUUCUCCUUUGCAGGUGGGUCUGCCCAGUGCUUGCAGGUGGCGCUGCUGCAUUUCCCUGCGUCUUGCUCACACCCAGGCAGAUCCGCCUGCACGUAUUCUGUGCUCUGACAGAGUCUGGUGAGGCCUGGCUUCUCCAAGCUGGACCUUUUGUUUUCCUCUCAGCCUACUCAUGGAGGGAGGGGCCCUUGGGUUCCUGACCCUGUCCUGUAACCUGAGCUCCGGGAGGAGCAGGAGGGGGAGUGUGGGCUGCGCAGACCCCUUGCCAGGUGGUCCAUUGCCCAGGGAGCUGUCCUCCCCUCCCACGGGUGACGUGCACACUCCUGGUCCUGCCGGGCCCCUGCUGGCCCCGGAGCCUCACUUCUGUCCAGUGGGUUGGUGCCCAGUCCCGCCUCCUCUCCCCUCGAAAGUCCUGCUCCAGGCAGAAGUGGAAAGAAGGCGUCAUGGAUGGACCUAGAGUCUGGCAUACAGAGUGAAGACCAAGAUUGCCUGUCCACCCACCCGUUUGCGGGGCCUCCAGGGGCUCCUGAACCUGGUCUGACUGCGCCGCUCUGGCUUAAGAUGCCUCCAGCAUUUCAUCAGUCUGCUAAUAUGAACAACUUGUCUUUUUAGGUGGUCUUAUUUUUGCCACAGCAUGCUUUGCCUUUUGGGGACUUCCUAAUGGUAAUCAAUUACAUUUCUGAGAAUUUGGCCCCGUGGUUUGUAUUUUCUUAAGUGGUUUUGGCAUUCCAGGUCUUAACCUCUUUUUAACAUGUUGCAAAGUCUAGACUCUGGUACCCAGGCCCCUGUCACCUUCAGGCUGCUGUGGGGACUUCUGACUUGAGUGCGACAGACCUGGGGUUUUGGUUAAUGGGACCUUACCGCGUGACUUGUUUUCUAAGACUUGGCGGGUAGAGAGAGAGAUCGGCAUGCUUCUAGAAUCAAGAGAUGGAAAACGUCAGGGCCCCCAGUCUUCGAAGGUACCUGUCCUGGCAUCUGUGCUGUGCCCGGCAGCCGAUCACAGCAGUUCCGGCCCCGGGACUCUGUGCCUGGCUUCUUAAUCUUUCUCCGGAUGCCAGCCUUUCCCACCCGAAACCACCUGCUGCUGGCCAUCUCUUGGGAGAUUGUGCCAUAAAGCUGUUGAUCCUGGGGUUUCCUCAGCCAAAGUGACACUCAGGCUGUUUCUCUGUUUAUAUGAGUUGUGUAUUCCAACCUCUUGAAGCUAAUAAUUAAUGGAUUACCCUCCCCUAAAUGUGACUCAGCUGAGUUUACUCAUGAAUUUGAAUCUUAUGGUGACUGGCAUUUUGUUUGAUUAAAAAUAAAAGCAAAAAAAGUUUACAGAGGUAGAAUCGUAACUACACAUAUUAAACUCUAGUUGACCCUGAUAUGUAAGGUUAAAAGUUAUUAUCUUAACAGGAAAAAUAAAUUGAUAAGUGUGAAGAAUAUUAAAUUCUCUCUCAGGUGGAGGAACUCCAUCUGGAAGUAAAAUCUAGAAGGUAGACCACUGCUGAGUGGCCAUGGUGUCCUGUUGGCCUGGUGUCUGAGAGGCAAAAGCCCACGUUGUCAGACCUGCGGGGGCCCUGAGCUUCUGUCUGGAGCACCGUCCGGAGCACAGGGAGCACAGGGGGCCAUGGGGGGCGGAGGUAUGUUGCUGUUGAUGGUGCAUCGUUUCCUAGGGCUGCUCUCACAACUAUCACAAACUGGGGCGGCAGUGGGGGAUGGCCUAAAACAACGGAAAUGCACACUCUCCCCAUCCUGGAGGUCAGAGGUCCGAAAUCAAGGUGUCAGCAGGGCUGCCCUCCCCCCCGCCCCUGCCAAGACUCCCGGGGAAGAUCUGUCCUUGAGCCUUCCAGCUCAGGUGUUGCUGGUACCCUUGCCGUCCCUUGGCUUGUGGCAGUAUCACCUCAAUCUCUGCUUCUCCUUAUCAAGACAGUCCUGGAUGGGGGGCCACCCUCACUCAGUGUGACCUCAGCUUGAUGACAUCUGCAAAGACUCUAUUUCCAAAAAAGUUUCCAUUCAUAGGUUCCGUGUGGACAUGGAUUUCGGGGGACACUAUUCAACCCAGUACAGGUAGUGACACUCCCAAGAUGGACAGUUUCCUUCUCCUGAGGAAGAGCUGGGACCCAGGCCCCAGUGGGAGCCCCUCUUCUCACAGCCUCAGGCCUGGAACCCCUCGCCCCUGUCGGCUCCUUGCCCCAUUGGCUGGGCCCGGGGGCAGGAAUGGCAGCCCUGCCUUGCAGACCACCCAUCUGUCCUCGGCUCUGUGGUCUGCCCUUGAGAAGGUCGUGGAGUGGCUCCCACAGUGUGUGGGCUGGCUUCUGCACUUGGUACGAGCCUCUAAGAUCCCUCUGUGUUGUGCACAAUUUCACCUUUUCUUCCUCCUGAGCGGGUGGACAGACCACAGCGGGCUGUCCAACCACCCCUGGAGGGAUGUCUGGGUGCUUCCUAGUCUUCGGCAAUCUGUGAGUAAAGCUGAUAUAAACAGUUGCAUACACGUUUUGUGUGAACUUGGUAAAUAUCUAGGAGUGGAAUUGCUGGGUCAUAUGACGUGUAUGUUUAACUUUAUUAGAAACUGCCAAACCAGGGACUUCCCUGGUGGUCCAGUGGGUAAGACUCUGUGUUCCCAAUGCAGGGGGCCCGGGUUCGAUACCUGGUCGAGGAACUAGAUCCCGCAUGCGUGCUGCAACUAAAGAAGUCCGCAUCCCACAACUAAAGAUCCUGCAUGCCACAGCUAAGAGCCAUUGCAGCCUAAAUAAAUAAAUAGUAGAUAAAUAAAUAUCUAAAAAAAGAAAAAAGAAGCUGCCAAACUGUUUCCAGAUUGACCCGACCAUUUUUCAUUCCCACCCGCAGCCUAUGAAGGGUACAGUUGUUCUGUGUCCUCACCAGCACUUGGUAUUGUCUGUAUUUUUUAAUUUUGUUUUUCUCAAUAUUAGCCAUUUUAAUAGGUGUGCAGUGAUCUCUCAUUGUAAUUUUAAUUUCCUGACAACUAAUGAGGUUGAACAUCUUUUCCUGUGCUCAUUUGCCAUCUUUGUGGUAUUCUCUUUGGUGAGUGUCUUUCAACUCUUUUGCCCAUUAAAAUUUUUUUUUUUUUUUUUUUUUUUUUGCGGUACGCAGGCCUCUCACUGUUGUGGCCUCUCCCGUUGCGGAGCACAGGCUCCAGACGCGCAGGCUCAACGGCCAUGGCUCACGGGCCCAGCCGCUCCACGGCACGUGGGAUCUUCCCGGACCAGCACAUGGGAUCUUCCCGGACCGGGGCACGAACCCGUGUACCCCGCAUCGGCAGGUGGACUCUUAACCAGGGCGCCACCAGGGAAGCCCCCCCAAUUUUUUUAAGUUGCUUGUUUUCUUAUUACCUAGUCUUGAGGAUGUUUAAAUAUAUUCUAGAUCCAAGUCCUUUAUUAGAAAUGUGUUUUUGUUUUUGUUUUGCGGUACGCGGGCCUCUCACUGCUGUGGCCUCUCCCGUUGCGGAGCACAGGCUCCGGACGCGCAGGCUCAGCGGCCAUGGCUCACGGGCCUAGCCGCUCCGCGGCAUGUGGGAUCCUCCCGGACCGGGGCACGAACCCGUGUCCCCCGCAUCGGCAGGCAGACUCUCAACCACUGUGCCACCAGGGAAGCCCUAGAAAUGUGUUUUGCAAAUAUUUUCUCCCAGUCCGUGGGUUUUCUUCCAUUUUAUUAAGUAUCUUUCAAAGAGCAGAUGUUUUUAAUUUUGAAGAAGUCCAAUUUAUCAAUUUAUUCUUUUAUAGACCAUGUUUUUGGUGUUGUAUAUAAGAAAUCAUUGCCGAACUCUUUGCCUAAGGUUACAAAGAUUUUCUUUUGUGUUUUCUUAUAGAAGUUUUAGAUUUACGUUUAUGACUGUGACCCAUUAUGAGUUAAUUUCUUUUUUAUUAUUUAGUUAUUUAUUUAUUUAGGCUGCUCUGGGUCUUAAUUGCGGCUUGCGGGAUCUUUGCUGCGGCAUGUGGGCUCUUAAUUGCAGCAUGCAAACUCUUAGUUGUGGCAUGCUUGAGGGAUCUAGUUCCCCAACCAGGGAUCGAACCUGGGCCCCCUGUAUGGGGAGCAUGGAGUUUUACCCACUGGGCCACCAGGGAAGUCCCUGAGUUAAUUUCUUUUUAAAAAAAAUAUUUAUUUAUUUAUGCCCGCGUUGUGUUUUCAUUGCUGCGCGAGGGAUUUCUCUAGUUGCGGUGAGCGGGGGCUACUCUUCAUUGCAGUGUGAGGGCUUCUCAUUGCGGUGGCUUCUCUUGUUAGGGAGCACGGGCUCUAGGAGCACAGGCUUCAGUAGUUGUGGCUCAUGGGCUUUAGAGUGCAGGCUCAGUAGCUGUGGCGCACGGGCUUAGUUGCUCCUGUGGCAUGUGGGAUCUUCCCAGACCAGGGCUCAAACCCGUGUCCCCUGGAUCGGCAGGCAGAUCUUAACCACUGCGCCACCAGGGAAGUCCUCCCUGAGUUAAUUUCUUAUGUAACAUGAGGUAUGGACUGAGGUUCACUACUUUUGCAUAGGGAUGCCCAGAUGUUACAGCACCAUUUUUAAAAGUGUAUGCUUUCUCUAUUGCACUGAUUUGUACCUUUGUCAAAAAUCACUUGGCCAGGGACUUCCCUGGUGGUCCAGUGGUAAAGAAUCCGCCUUCCAAUGCAGGGGACGCAGGUUCGAUCCCUGGUCAGGGAACUAGGAUCCCACAUGCCACGGGGCAACUAGGCCCACACACCACAGCUACUGAGCUCGCGUGCCUCAACUAGAGAGGCCGUGUGCCACAAACUGCAGAGCCCACGCUCUCUGGAACCCGCACCACAGCUACAGAGCCCACCCGCCCUGGAGCCUGCGUACCACAACUAGAGAAAAGAAAAACCACAUGCCACAACUAGGGAGAAGCCCUCGCGCUGCAACAAAGAGCCCACAUGCCACAACUAAAGAUCCUGCAUGCCGCAACAAAGACCCCACAUGCCACAACUAAGACCCGACACAGCCAAAAGUAAAUAAGUAAAUAAAUAAUCUUUAAAAAACAACAACAACAAAAAUCAGUUGGCCAGGGCUUCCCUGGUGGCGCAGUGGUUGAGAGUCCGCCUGCCGAUGCAGGGGACACGGGUUCGUGCCCCGGUCUGGGAAGAUCCCACAUGCCGCGGAGCGGCUGGGCCCGUGAGCCAUGGCCGUUGAGCCUGCGCGUCCGGAGCUUGUGCUCCGCAACGGGAGAGGCCACAGCAGUGAGAGGCCCGUGUACAGAAAAAAAAAAAAAAAAAUCAAUUGGCCAUAUUUGUGUGGUUUUAUUUCUCAUCUCGGUUCUGUUCCAUUUUUCUGUUGUGUAUUCUUAUGCCAGUAUCACACUGUCUUGACUACUUUAAAUAUAUAGUAAGUCUUGAAAUUGGGUAAUGUGAGUCCUCCAACUUUGUUCCUUUUGUUCAAAAAAAAUUUUUUUUAAUUUUAUUUAUUUAUUUUUGGCUGCGUUGGGUCUUCGUUGCUGCACGCGGGCUUUCUCUAGUUGCGGUGAGUGGGGGCUACUCUUCGUCAUGGUGCGCGGGCUUCUCAUUGUGGUGGCUUCUCUUGUUGGGGAGCAUGGGCUCUAGGUGCGUGGGCUUCAGUUGUUGUGGCUCGCGGGCUUAGUUGCUCUGCGGCAUGUGGGAUCUUCCAGGACCAGGGCUCGAACCCGUGUCCCUUGCACUGGCAGGCAGAUUCUUAACCACUGUGCCACCAGGGAAGCCCUCAAAAUUGUUUUGACUAUUCUAAUUCCUUUAACUUUCCAUGCAAAAUUUAGCUUUGGAAAUUCCCUGGCAGUCCAGUGGUUAGGAAUCUGUGCUUUCACUGCAGAGGGUUGCAGGUUCAAUCCCUGGUUGAGCAACUAAGGUCCCGCAAGCCGCAAGGUCGGCCAAAAAUUUUUUUUUAAUAAAUAAAUAAUAAAAUUCAGCUUUGUCAAUUUCUAGCCCCCCGCCCCCGGCCCUGAAAAAUCCUGCUAGGGUUUUUGAGACUGAAUCUGUGGAUCCAUUUGGUGAGAACUGCCAUCUUAACUAUCAAUCUAUCUAUCUAUCAAUCCAUGAACACAGUAUUUCUCUCCACUUAUUUAGAUCUUCUUUGAUUUAUUUUAUUAGUGGUUUAUAGCUUUUAGCAUACAGAUCUUGCAUAGGUGUCUGUCUAACCUCUCACCCUCUCUUACAUUUAGUGUCCUGAGACCACAGUUACUGAAGAUAAAAUGAGGUCCCUGCAUCUUUCGGGCUAAUAGAGAAGGUGGCAUGGGUUCUCCAAGCUCAGGGCAGCUCAUCCGAAACUGUCUUCCAGAGCAUGGACAGGUGGCCUGGUUUGCCGUCCAGCUUUGGGACAGUUGCUCAGCUGGUUGUGAUCACACCCAGUGACGAGAGCCUCCCUGUGUGGUUCCAGUGAGGUCCUUUCCUUCCCCUGACACACAGCAGGUGGUCUCAGCCUCUGCUGCUCCCAGGGAUGAAAGUAGGAGAUUGAAUCAGCAGGGGCUUGGGCUCCUUCUGAAGACACGUGGCAUCUCCGUGGUUGCAUGUGUUUGCACGGGGGUGCUACUGAAAAUAAAGCUCUGCUUCCCUGACACAGCUCACCUGGGGGCUGACCACCCAAGUGAGCAGAGCUGCCCGGACUGGAGGUGGUGGAUGGCAGAGCCUGCAGGGCCCCCACUGUGGGACAGGCAGGAAAAAGGGGUGCUGAUAUCAGAAAACUGCUCUUUAAAAUCAAAGAUGCACCCUCCCUUUUUUUUUUAAUUUGGUUGCACUGGGUCUUAGUUGUGGCUUGUGGGCUCCUUAGUUGUGGCUUACCAGCUUCUUUGUUGUGGCAUGCGAACUCUUAGUUACAGCAUGUGGGAUCUGCUUCCCUGACCAGGGGUUGAACCUGGGCCCCCUGCACUGGGAGCGCAGAGUCUUAACCACUGUGCCACCAGGGAAGUCCCGCCGCCCUUUUUUUUCAUGGAGGAUGGCAAUGCUUUCCCUGGCAGUGUCACCCAGACUGUUGGGCUGUCCAAAGUAGGGCGGGGGGAGGCCCCUUCUGGCCUGACCGCUGAACCCUAUUGGUGGCCUUGAUCUCGGGUGGCCUCAGCCUGCAGCGGCUUGAAGCAGCAUUUCGGUUCCUGGCCAGAGAUUGAGGUCUGGCAGUGGCAGUGAGAGCACUGAAUCCUAGCCACCAGACCACCAGGGACCAAUGGACAGUGACAAGGCCCUGACCCAUUGCUGUGUAGAAAUGAAUUGCCACAUAGAGACAUAGAGAUGGAAAGUAGUGAGGCAAGUAAAGUGUUUAUUAGGAGGAAAAAUAGUACGGUACCUGUGGAUAGACACACGGGCGGGCUCAGAGAGAGUUGCGCCGUUGUGGUAGUUUGAAUCACUUUUAUGGGGCCUUUCUUCCAGGUUUCCUUUGGCAAUCUUGCUUUGCCUGGUUCUGAAUCUAUAUUUGGUUUAUCUCAGGGUCUUCCCAUGUGUGCGUGCGCGCGCAUCACUUAGCCAAGAUGGAUUCUAGCGAAGAGGCCUAUGGGUAGUUGACAUCACUUACUAUGGGGUGGUGCCCCCUCCCUUUUUGACCUCCAAGGAGGCUUUCUGUGCAUGUGUAGUCAGGGAGGUCUCCUUAACUUCAAGAAUGAGGAAUAUGUGGUCUUUUAUCUCUUAUCUGGGCAGGGCCCAGCCUCCUCCAUCAUCCUGCUUUUAUGGAGUUUCUGUCCACAGGGGAGAAACUGUUCAGCCUGGGGCCCAUCUAUCUCCUACCUCAGCCUGAGUCCAGGUUCAGGGUGACCUCGAGACCUGGCAGGGGCAGCCCUGCAAUUUGAAGGGACUGGGACCCUCUGAGGUGUCAGAGCUCUGGAAAGAGGGGGCUAUCAUCUGGCCACACCCGAGCGAUGGUUAGGGAAGGCUCUGGGUUACUCCCCAGUUUCACUCAUGGGGGAUGAUGUGCCAGGUCCUGCCGGUAUCUGGUUGGUGGGGCUUGUCCUUGCUGUGGGAUUUCACAGGGUACCUGGACGCAGCAGCUCAGCACAGACACAGGCCGUUAGGGAACAAGGCAGGUGUGACAGUGGUCCCGUCCCUGCCAGGGAGAGUGUGGGAGGGUUUAGCCCCCAGCGUGGGGAGUGAGCGGCUCAGGCAGCUAAGAGCUGGGAGCUGUGUGGAUGAGCUGGGGCAGCCAGGCCACGAGGAGCCUGGAAGCACCUGGGUCACAUGGCUUUGCUAUUUCACGGAGAAAAACCAGCAAGGAGAAACAUGCAGGGAACAUACUUUCCUUUUCAAAAAGGAGGUGGGGUAGAUUCUGAAGAGGAGGGGGACUGGUGCUGAUUUCAGUAACUGCUCUCUGUGUAUGAUUCUCAUAUGAUGAACACACUUCAAAUGCCCAUUUAAAACAUGACUUGCAGGACUUCCCUGGGGGUCCAGUCGUUAAGACUCUGCGCUUCGCACGGCUUCCAUCCCUGGUCAGGGAACUAAGAUUCCACAUGCCUCACGGCCAAAAAAAAAAAAAAAUGCAUGACUCACUUUUAGAACCAUUUAGAAACGGGAGGCAGCCCUGCAGGGGCAGGCUCUGGGCCUUGGCCAUGGGUGAAGCUUGGGCCUGUACCUCAGCCCUGGGGCCUCCCUGCUUCUCCCAUCCUGAGCCCCAUUAUGCAGCCCUCCCGCCCCCUUGGUCCUGCGAGGCACCCCAACAUCUCCCAACAAAGUGCCCUUCUGAUCUGGGAAGCCAGGCCAGAGUCGGUCUCUGGAUAGCACACAUGUAUAUACAUUCUUUUAAGGUGAAAUUCACAUAGUAUAAAAUUAACCAUGUUAAACUGAACAAUUCAGUGGUAUUUGGUACAUUCACGACCCUGUAACUUUCUCAUUUCAGAACAUUUUUCUCACCCCCCAAAUGGAAACCUGGACCCUCCCCCGCCCCUGGCAGCCAGCACCCUGCUUUCUGAUACUUUAAUUCAACAUAAGACAGGUUCUCAAAAGUCAGGUCCUCAUGAUGAAUAUGUUUGUCAAUGAUACUUAACCAGUAUUUACAUGUUUGCGUCCUCUUGUUCUAGGAGAUAGAAUUCGGCAGGUGCUGGAUGAGCUGAAAUAGAUUAUUUACACAUCACGUGGCCUCAAAGUGUAGGGAGUGUCUUGGCAUUUGACAUUUGCUGUUUUUCAGGCUAAAAUUAUCUCUCUUCUUGUCUCUGUUGUCCUGACUCACUCAGUGAACAUUCCAACAGGCUUUGUUCUAGGAGCUUUUGUGUAUUUUUAUUUUGAUGGACAGAGUUCUUGGUGAAUUAGCUAAGUGCAGCACAUGUGCGAAUGUGCAUUACACCUUUUGACCCUAACACUGACAACACUACUGUCAAAAACAUGAAGUAACAGAGAAGAGGAAAUACAAUAAAUAGGAACAGAGCAAACACAUAACAGGAGGAACAUAAAACGGUUCAAUAAAUAAGUGUAUGAAAAAAGAGACUCUUCUCCCAAUGGGACUUCGAACCUGGCGUGAAUGGGUGGAAUUUGGGGGCUUCUCUGUGGCAGGUACAGCUGAGACAGAGGGUUUAUCCUGGGACCCAAAGGCCUGGGGAAGAAUGGAGCUUGUGCUGAGCUGAGGCCACUGCUGGCGGCAGGUACCAGACGUGAGCUGUCAGGGAAACUGAGGCACAGGGAGAGGGAGGAAGCCGCUGGUCGUCAGGACUGGGAUUUGAUCCCACGCAUCACAGAGCUUCUCCCUGCAGGGUCUCCACAGUGCUAUGUGGGGGACCUGUGGGGUCCCCAGGGGGCUAGCCCAUCUCCAUUCCCAUUUUCCACCCUACAGAUCAAAUGGGGGGUGAGGGUAGGCAGUGUUUUUUCAAGCUUUAUCUCCCACCCCCGGACCUCCCCUGCUCUGCCCUGUCCCCAAUUCAAAGGAGGGGCCUUCCUUGGGAGUUCACAGCUGCAUAGAUGGAGGGAAGUAGGCCGGGUUGCAGCUCUAAAGGACAGUAACAUUGACGGAGACGGAGUGGGCCUGGGUCUCCAAAGCACACGCGGCUCUGGGAGGGUGCCUCAGGGUCCCGGGCGUCAGGGUCAGUGUGCCGAGGGCAGGUGACCCGGCAGGGCUGUCCUGGUGGGAACAACCACCAGAGUCAGAGUUCAGUUUGGGUCCUGAAUGUUAAUAGUUAGAUCAUUAUCAUUGAGUUGGAUUUUCUUUUAUUUUUUUGGCCGUACUAUGCGGCAAAAUCUUAGUUCCCUGACCAGGGAUUGAACCCAUGCCCUCAGCAGUGAAAGGGCAGAGCCCUAACCACUGGACCACCAGGGAAUUCCUGUAGAUUUUCUUUUAAAUACAUGUUCACUAUUAGUGAAAUUCUGGGGUGUGGGAGGCAUUGUGCUCUGCUUUGGGAAGAUGUUAAAAUGUAUCUUCCGCAGCUUUUCCAGGAUUUGUGUGUCAGGUUUCCUCUGUCACUCUCUCCAGUCACUGUACUUCAUGGGUUUUCUGUCAGGGCAUUUUUUGGUGCAAACAAAAAAGUCAACUCAAAGAAGCUUAAGCAAAAAGGAGUUUGUGGCCUUAUGUAACCGACAGGUUGAGGGGUGGGCCUGGUUUCAGGCUAGAUCCUGAGGCUGAGCCAUUCUGGACUCUCUCCACUGUUCCUUCUCCCCAGAGCUGCUCCCCACGUACACCCCAUCCCUGAUUCUUCUGUGUGAAGGUUAAUUUCCACCUGGGGAGGAAGCAUGUGCAUCGUGGAUGUUCAUUAAUUUAUGGAGAACUGUAGAUGUGAUCAAUAGUUUCAAUUUGUUUAGAUAUCAUUAUCUUAGUAGGAGUAGGUGAUACACAAUGUGAAAGGAAAGAAACCAUCACUUUAUAAGUUACAUAAAGUGUAAUCAAAACUGGCAAAAAUCCGGAGAAACUACUUUUAAGUAGACAGUCCUAAAACAUAAUUAUUCCUAAAGAGUUCACCUGAAAGCUCUUAUCUCGUUUACAUUUAAUUUGCUUGAAAGUUUCAUCACAUCAGGUUAUUUUUCUUGUUGACAAAUUUUGUGACAGGAAUUAUACAGUCUUAUUUGAUUUCUGGUAAACCUACAUACAAAGCAGUAUAUACUUAAUGUUGAUGACUUUAAAGGUAUGUCUGUAUUGGGGCUUCCCUGGUGGUCCAGUGGCUAAGAUUUUGCACUUCCACUGCAGUGGGGCGAGUUCAGUCCCUUGUCGGGGACCUAAGAUCCCGCAUGUCGCGUGGUGUGGCCAAAAAAAAAAAAAAAAGAUGUCUUUAUAA